CCCCCAGCCCACUGAUAGCAACCAUCAUAAUGCCACACCCAGCUUCCGGCACCUUUCGCCACUCCGGCACAAACCGACACAGCUUUGCGAUCUCGCCAGCAUGCAGAGUCUGAUGUCUUCCCUAUAGAUGAUUCCAGAGACUCUGUGAGGCCACUAUUACAAGGUGAGACGCUUUGCGUUGAUUGGUGCUGCUGGACCACACUGGAGGUGCGAGUCCGCCGUGUAAUGGUUUAUGCCAUUACAAAGGAGCUGGCCUCUGUACUCAACUGGGCAGGGAAAAAAACCAAGGACCAGACAAAGCAAAAAGGGCAUUUAAAGAGACAGCGCUGUGCAGAUGCAUAUUUG
ensembl:lncRNA